rnacentral:rRNA from 1 species
GACGAACGCUGGCGGCGUGCUUAACACAUGCCAGUCGAACGGAAAGGCCCCUUUGGGGGUACUCGAGUGGCGCAUGGGUGAGUAACACGUGAGUAACCUGCCCUUGACUUCGGGAUAACUUCAGGAAACUGGGGCUAAUACCGGAUAGGAAUCCUUGCUGCAUGGUGGGGGUUGGAAAGCUUCGGCGGUUUUGGAUGGACUCGCGGCUUAUCAGCUUGUUGGUGGGGUAGUGGCUUACCAAGGCUUUGACGGGUAGCCGGCCUGAGAGGGCGACCGGCCACAUUGGGACUGAGAUACGGCCCAGACUCCUACGGGAGGCAGCAGUGGGGAAUAUUGCACAAUGGGCGGAAGCCUGAUGCAGCAACGCCGCGGGCGGGAUGACGGCCUUCGGGUUGUAAACCGCUUUCAGCAGGGGCGAAGCUUGUGGUGACGGUACCUGCAGAAGAAGCACCGGCUAACUACGUG